rnacentral:sRNA from 1 species
GAUAUUUGCUCGGUCGACCGACGGUCCGG